UGGGGAAUAUUGGACAAUGGGGGGAACCCUGAUCCAGCCAUGCCGCGUGUGUGAAGAAGGCCUUAUGGUUGUAAAGCACUUUAAGCGAGGAGGAGGCUACUAGUAUUAAUACUACUGGAUAGUGGACGCUACUCGCAGAAUAAGCACCGGCUAACUCUGUGCCAGCAGCCGCAGUAAUACAGAGGGUGCGAGCGUUAAUCGGAUUUACUGGGCGUAAAGCGUGCGUAGGCGGCCAUUUAAGUCAAAUGUGAAAUCCCCGAGCUUAACUUGGGAAUUGCAUUCGAUACUGGAUGGCUAGAGUAUGGGAGAGGAUGGUAGAAUUCCAGGUGUAGCGGUGAAAUGCGUAGAGAUCUGGAGGAAUACCGAUGGCGAAGGCAGCCAUCUGGCCUAAUACUGACGCUGAGGUACGAAAGCAUGGGGAGCAAACAGGAUUAGAUACCCUGGUAGUCCAUGCCGUAAACGAUGUCUACUAGCCGUUGGGGCCUUUGAGGCUUUAGUGGCGCAGCUAACGCGAUAAGUAGACCGCCUGGGGAGUACGGUCGCAAGACUAAAA
rnacentral:rRNA from 1 species